UUGAACUGAAGAGUUUGAUCCUGGCUCAGAUUGAACGCUGGCGGCAUGCCUUACACAUGCAAGUCGAACGG
rnacentral:rRNA from 1 species